UACGAAGGGGGCUAGCGUUGCUCGGAAUCACUGGGCGUAAAGGGUGCGUAGGCGGGUUCUUAAGUCAGAGGUGAAAUCCUGGAGCUCAACUCCAGAACUGCCUUUGAUACUGAGAGUCUUGAGUUCGGGAGAGGUGAGUGGAACUGCGAGUGUAGAGGUGAAAUUCGUAGAUAUUAGGAAGAACACCGGUGGCGAAGGCGGCCCACUGGUCCGGUACUGACGCUGAGGUGCGAAAGCGUGGGGAGCAAACAGG
rnacentral:rRNA from 1 species